rnacentral:rRNA from 1 species
CCUACGGGAGGCAGCAGUGAGGAAUAUUGGUCAAUGGGCGGAAGCCUGAACCAGCCAAGUAGCGUGCAGGAUGACGGCCCUACGGGUUGUAAACUGCUUUUAUACGGGAAUAACGCGCCUUACGUGUAGGGCUUUGCAUGUACCGUAUGAAUAAGGACCGGCUAAUUCCGUGCCAGCAGCCGCGGUAAUACGGAAGGUCCGGGCGUUAUCCGGAUUUAUUGGGUUUAAAGGGAGCGUAGGCCGCAUGUCAAGCGUGCUGUGAAAUGUCCGGGCUCAACCCGGGCCUUGCAGCGCGAACUGGCGUGCUUGAGUCCGCGGAAAGCAGGCGGAAUUCGUCGUGUAGCGGUGAAAUGCUUAGAUAUGACGAAGAACCCCGAUUGCGAAGGCAGCUUGCUGCAGCGGAACUGACGCUGAUGCUCGAAAGCGCGGGUAUCGAACAGGAUUAGAUACACGUGUAGUC